AACGUUCACAAAGUAGGAAUAGAACCUGAUAACCCUUGGAUAAUAAGGUUGGGCUCCCUUAUAGAUUUCUCCAGAGAUUCUACUUUCUUUGAACGAAAGGAAGAAAAAAAAUAUUUAAUUUGAUCCUAACUUGAAGAAUCCAGGUUCAACACCUCCUGAGAUACAAAAAGAGGGUGACAGUGUACCUUAAUGAUCCAAGAAGGCAUGAGGUGGAGCAGGAAAGAAAUCAAAUGCUACUUUGGUGAACAAUGAGAUCCUAGCUCUUGGGGAAGUGAGAAGCAUCUCAGUAAUCAGGGAAAUAUUUCUUUCUUCACUUGGGGUUGAGACUGUACUGUCCUCAGAACCUAACAUUUGUCCUGGGGAGUUGUACAGAUGUUCUAUCUAACAGGUUCAUGAGCUAAGAAAUAAGUUUGUUUGCACUCACCCUGGUGGGCAUGCAUGGAGACAGCCUGAGGGUUCGACCAGUACCCAGCAGACAAGGCAUUUUAGAGAACUCAGCCCCUCAGGCUUAAUGUUCUCUGGAGCUUGGGUGUCACUAGAUACCCAUGAUAUUCCUGCUGCUUUUCUCAGUGACUGCUCCAGCCUGUUUAAGCGAAGGGAAAGAGGUGCUGGAACAAUCAAGUGGUGUCCUCACUGCUGGCAGGUGGGAGGGAGGGAGUGAAGGAGAGCAGUGAAGCAAGACUGCACUCCCAAGCAGUGAAGGAGAGAACGAGGGUGAAUGAAGGAGGAGGACAACUUGGGGUCAAGAGACUGAGGCUGGAACACGUAAGAGCCCACUGGCCUUUUAAAGGACCUAAGCAAAGAAACUUCCCUUUUGGAAUCUGGGAAAAGCAUUAAUUUUCCAGACUUUAAUUUGUUGCCCUUCUUUGAUGAAAUCUCCAGAAACUUUGAUAAAAUGUUCUGUUUGUACUGCAUAGGUCUCGUACAAAAGUGUAAGGGAGUUUGAGGGAACUUUUGGUCAGGGGAGGGUGACUGUGGUCCACUGCAACCCUCCUGUGUGCUCCUGGAGAGAGGGCAUCAUCUUUUACAUGGAGGUGACCACAGCAGAAGACCAUGACCCCCAGCAGGGCCUCGGUUCCAGGCAACGCUCACAACACAUAGGAGGACCCAGAAACACUUUGUUCAGGAAGAACCACAACUCUGUACUUCAAGCAAUGGUUCUGAGCUCUGGAUGCAGAAUGAACACAAUGAGGUAUCUUAAUAAUAACAGCUAAAGAUCCACCCCAGACAAGGAAGUCACAUCACUGCAGGAGGUGCCUUGGCAUAAUAUUUAGUUUUCAAAAGCAGCUGAGAUGGGGAUGAGAACCAGAGGAUUAGAGGAAGAUGACUCCUUAAGGAUGAGGACACUCAUCUGGCUUAGAGACACAACCUGGCCUGUAGCUGAUACCGUCUGCACCUCAGGCUCCUCCCUGUAAAACAACUCAGUGACAAUGGUAAACUCAAAUGUGAAGCUUUUCCAGUUCCUUUGGUUUUGCUCACCUGUGACGUGCACCACACCUAGCAUCGAACAUCGCAGCUGAAUAUUCAGUCCUGAGUCACCGUGACUCUGCCAUCAGCUGGUCAGGCAGAUGAGAAUUCCAGGAAGCCCGAGGCUGGCGCAUCCCCCUGCCGGGAAGGGACCUAGCCUUUGCCCUGUCUCGUGGUGUGAAUGUGCAUUCCUGGUGCUGAGAUUGCCCAGCCACCUUUACUCCCAGUCAUGCUAGAGUCUGCCAGGCUUUCCUCAGCUGGAGGAGGACACGUGAGUCUUGUGGGAGGAAUUGGAUAGAAAGACACCCCCCUUUAGAGGAAGAAGGAUGGAGAAGCACAAUGAUGCCGAAAUGCUGCCUUCCAAGACUUCUUCAGCUGUAGCAACUUUCCCCACUUCCAGGCACUACCACAUGCCUGGUCAAUCCUACAGAGAGGCUGAGAGUCUCUUUGUCACCUGGUCCCCCCAUUGCUGCCCCUCUACCCGGCCUGGCAGCUGAUGCUUCCCUCCAUGGGCUCCCCCACCCAGGAUCUAGGCGCUGAGUCAACUGGGAGGCAGGAAGGGAGGACAGAGUCCCUUUGACUCUCCCCACAUUCUGGUGGGGCUGAUCUGUCACUCUUCCGGGUGCCAGCCACUGGGCUAGUUCUUAACUUCCUUCCUUCAUUUCUUCCUUCCUUCCUCCCACUUUCAUUCCUCCCUCCGUUUCCUCCUUCUUUCCACAAACAUAGGCAUCGAGCUAAAUAUUCAGGAAAAUAAAUGGUGCACAGGUCACAGGCUCUGGGUGGCACAGGAGUCUGUAGAGGACAGCAGACACAGGAGGCAGUUGCAUGGUGACAGACUCCAGCUCCAGGUGGGCCCAGCAGUGGAGGAGUCACAGGAGCGGCAGCCAGCCACAUUCGGGCCUGAGUGUCAGCUUCCCGGAGAAAGUGUAGUCAGAGCUGCAAGCUAAAGGGUGAACAGGGGAAAAUGUGAGCAAUGCCCCAGGUGUAGGAACCAGAGGGUACAAAACUGGAA
rnacentral:lncRNA from 10 species